rnacentral:rRNA from 1 species
AUUGAACGCUGGCGGCAUGCUUUACACAUGCAAGUCGAACGGUAACAGGCCGCAAGGUGCUGACGAGUGGCGAACGGGUGAGUAAUGCAUCGGGACGUGCCCUGUCGUGGGGGAUAACUACUCGAAAGAGUAGCUAAUACCGCAUACGAUCUAUGGAUGAAAGCGGGGGACCGUAAUGCCUCGCGCGAUUGGAGCGGCCGAUGUCAGAUUAGGUAGUUGGUGGGGUAAAGGCUCACCAAGCCAACGAUCUGUAGCUGGUCUGAGAGGACAACCAGCCACACUGGGACUGAGACACGGCCCAGACUCCUACGGGAGGCAGCAGUGGGGAAUUUUGGACAAUGGGCGCAAGCCUGAUCCAGCAAUGCCGCGUGCAGGAAGAAGGCCUUCGGGUUGUAAACUGCUUUUGUACGGAACGAAACGGCUCUGGUUAAUACCCGGGGCUAAUGACGGUACCGUAAGAAUAAGCACCGGCUAACUACGUG